GAAGUAACCUUCUUUCCUUGCUCUUUGUUAUUGGUUCAUGUCCCAGUGACGUUUAUCCUGUGCUGCGGGAUGGAAAUUCGUUCGGAGCGUGUUCGUCAUCUGUGUUUGAUUCUUCCUGGGUACCUAUGCUUGGUGCGCAUACGUUUAACAUAUUUACAACGGCUAGUAAACGUUACGUCCGUAAACGGUGAUGGCAGCAGAUGGGCCUGAGAAGGCAGGGGAUGAAGGAACAGGCGGGGUGGGGAGUUCGAGCAGUGGCGGGGUGCGGUUCGAGCUGGAGAAGGAGACAGAGCUGCGUUUUGAGGUGGAGGUCGGGGAAAGAGCACAGCUUGAGCUGCUGUCUGGGAUGGCUGAGGUCUUUGGCUCUGAACUGAACCGCAACAAGAAGUACACCUUUGGGCCCGGGUCCAAGAUUGCUGUCUUCACCUGGCAGGGUUGCAGUGUGUCUCUGACCGGGAAGACUGAGGUGGCAUAUGUUUCCCGGGAUACGCCCAUGCUUCUGUACCUGAACACACAUGCCGCUCUGGAGCAGAUGAGACAGCAGGCAGAGAGAGACAAUGAGAGAGGACCAAGGGUGAUGGUAGUGGGGCCCACAGAUGUGGGGAAGUCGACGGUAUGCCGGCUGCUCCUGAACUACGCUGUAAGGCUGGGCAGGAGACCCACCCUGGUGGAGUUGGACGUGGGACAGAGCGGGGUAUCUGUUCCUGGGACCGUGUCCGCACUGUGUAUCGAGCGUCCCGCAGACGUGGAGGAGGGCUUCUCGGUUCAGGCCCCUCUGGUGUACCACUUUGGCUCCACCACCCCCGGAACCAACAUCAAACUCUACAACAAGCUGACGUCAUGCCUGGCGGAGGUGUUCUCCCAGCGCUGUGAGGUGAACCGCAGAGCCAGUGUGGGUGGCUGCAUCAUUAACACGUGCGGCUGGGUGAAGAGUUCUGGGUACCAGGCUCUGGUGCACUGCGCCUCUGCCUUUGAGGUGGACGUGGUCCUGGUUCUGGACCAGGAGCGGCUUUACAACGAGCUCAAGCGUGACCUGCCACACUUUGUUCGUGUGGUGCUGCUGCCCAAGUCCGGUGGCGUGGUGGAGCGAUCCAAGGCCUGCCGCCGCGACACGCGCGAUGAGAAGAUCCGCGAGUACUUCUAUGGCUUCCGCGGCGCCUCCUUCUACCCCCACGCCUUCGAUGUGCGUUUUUCAGACGUGCGUAUCUAUAAGAUCGGGGCUCCCUCCAUCCCAGACUCCUGCCUGCCACUGGGCAUGUCUCAGGACGACACACAGCUGAAGCUGGUUCCCGUGACCCCAGGACGGGACCUAACGCAUCACGUGUUGAGCGUGAGCUGUGUGGAGGAUGAGGGUGGGGAAGGUGGCAGGGCUGGCCGCAGAGGAGUGCUGGAGAGUCCUGUGUGCGGCUUCAUCGUGGUGACUGCUGUGGACACUCAGGCCCAGUUUGUGUUUGUUGUUUGCGAUUCACAUCUCAGAUCUUUUGCUGAUGGAGUUGUGAACAUGCCAGAGGGUCGGCUGUCCUUUGGUUUUAUGGCCACACCUGGAGGAGAUGCAACAGCGUUGCGUUUGGAGAUAUCCCAUCUUGGUGAUACUCCACGUACUCCGGAUGCAGUGUGCCUGCUUGCUCCGGGGAACAACAUGACCUCAAGUCGCACUAUUGAGGAGGCUGCCAGGGCCUUUGGAACUCUCCUCAGUGUUGCAUUGCAACACUGGCCAAACAAGGUGUUUGUGGGAAUAUCACCGAGUUGCAGCAAAGAUGGGAGUGCGGUACUUCUCAACAAAUGAUGUUUUCCAGCCAUCCAAAAGGCAUCUGUGGUGUCAGGAUUUGGUACACCUAAGUGAUGACAAAGGUAUGCCUCUCCUUGCGGACUUCAUUUGGAACACUUCACACAGCAUCCUGCACAUCCCUGUCAAUCCUGUGCCACUUAGAGUGCAUCCUACACUCAAACGAUGCUUCCACAAAAAUAAGAAGGAGCAUGGUACUUCAUCACAGCCCCACAGUGUGUUGAUCCAUCUCAGCGUUCAGCAACAUCCUAUCGGCCCUUUCCAGUAUGUCGACCAUGACCAAUGGACACACCUGCUGCCUACUGUUCCAGAUGUGAGGAUGCAGGUUCGGGACCGGCGUCAUUGUAUACAUCAGCAUGCUGCCAAAGGACUGUUUGUUGACAUACAGCAACGAAUUCUCAGCGGGGGUAGGAUGGAACGCAUCUUUGACACAUACGGCCUACCGCCAGAAUGCCAAGCCUGUCCAUCACCCAGCACCCCAGUCUGUGGCUGAGAAGAAAUCCUUGCACAUCAAAAAGCUAAGUGGUGCUGGUUCAGGUCAUGUGAGUCGUAGGCCUUUGGUAGUAGUUGACAGGGUCAAAGAAGUUGUAGAACAGGAAGAUGUUAGGGAUAAGGUAGUAAGGAGGAGAAAGAUGAGAAACAUACACACCAGUGUUACACAGACAGAACAGAAGCAGGAGUUGCCUACUGAGAGAGGACUGAAACAGGAGUUGGCUAGUCAAAUAGUACAGAAACAGUUGUUUGCUAGGGGUGAAGGAAGUGUUGUUGGUCAGGGGGAAGGGGGUCACAUGCCUUCAGAAGUAGGCAAAGGGCUUCAGGAUACACAACACAUAAAUGGGGUAUAUAGCUGGGUGAUGGUAAGUAAUUUCUGUGUUCCCUUCCAGCGCACUUUUGAAUGUCCCAAUAAGUUUAGUAUUGCAGAACUGUGUGAUGACAACACAUUGCCAAUAACUUGUAAGCCAAAUGGGGUGAAAUCAUUGCCAAGUAAGACACCAAAUACACUGGACAACAAAGGGGGGAUGCCUUCUGUGCAUUACACAAGUGGGGGAGAUUCAGACCAUAACAAGACAGUGUGCUUACAGACAGUUGCUCAUGCUGAUAUUGAAAACAAACAAAAAGAAAUAAACAGCAGACCAGCUGCAGUACUUGCCAUAAAAAAGGCCAAGAACCACAUAAGAGGAGGUAUAGGUGAAGGCAACUCAAUAUUUGAGACGGCAAUUAACAUAGCAGAGCAGCAUGAUAUCCAACUUAGAAGUGGCAAUCCAAACAAGGCCAAUGGUAAUUGCUUGUAUGAAUCCAUUAUUGAUAACAUAAAUGCAAGACAGUUUUUUGCAGAACAUUUGCCAGAAAGGUCUGGAAUAAUGUAGGUGAACAGAAAAUUAAGGCAUCUCCAUACUAUCCAAACAUAUAUACAGAACAGCAGUGGAGAGAAGCAUGGCAAACUUUGCAAACAACUAACCAAUAUGACCUUGACUAUUUUGGUGAUAUGGCUAUCCUUAGUUGUGCUCAUACUACUAAGAAAGAUACCUUUGAAAACAACAACUGCUCAACCUCAUAGUCCAAUAUAUGUAGAUAUCUGCAGAUGCAAUAGAUCCAGCAAAUGGAAGAGAUACUGAUGUUCCAUUGGUGUUGGCAUACAAUGGCCAUCAUUUUGAAAGCCUCAUUCCUGUUUCUAACGUUGAUGUUAACAAAACAAUUGUUUUGGUGGAUGCAUAUAAGACUGGCACGUAUACGACUCCUAGGUCUUUAGCACAAAUGUUUCAGCUCAUUGGAAAUGAUUUACACAACACAGAAACAGAUUCUCCCACAACAAAUAAAACCAUAUGUACACAGGCCACAGAAGACCAGAAAAGAACAGAGCUUGCACCUACAACCAGUAAUGUCCAGAUUCAAAAUUAUGCUCCAAAAUCCCACAAUUUAGAUGAAGGCAAUAAUACCAGCGAUACCGUAGAGAUAACUUUGCCAGAUGUAUGCAACAGCUGUCAAAAGCCAUUUCAAACGCUGCUGGUACAUUUGCGCAGGUCAAAACGAUGUCAAUUAGGCUACAUUACAACUUCCAAUCUUUGCAUCAAGAAGUAAUUGUGAAACACGCAGACCAAAAACCUCUAUGGCAAGCUGCCAAAUGUCAAAAACUGCAAAAUCAUAAGCAAACUGAGGUCAAUGUAGGCCUAAACCAUGUUGAACAACAAGCUCUACCAUGUCAAAAAGAGAAAGAGGCCACUCCAAUUGAAGCCAGUGCAAUAAAGAUGAAAGUUACAAGGAAGAGACAGUUGCAGAGUAAUCCUGUAGAUGUCACAGGAAAAAAUGUUUCACCAUGUAAUGUAAAUAAAAACACAGAAAGAGAUUGUCCCAGAACAAAUGAAACAACAUGUAAGCACGCCAAAGAAAACCACAAAAGAACAGAUCUUGCAGCUAUCACCAGUAAUCUCCAGAUUCAAAAUAUAGGCUAGGUCCUAAAUCCCACAAUCUACAUGAAGCCAAUAAUACCACUGAUACCAUAACAAUGACUUCCCUAGAUGUAUGCAAGGGCUGUCAAAAGUCAUUUCAAAGGCUGAUAGUACAUUUGAGCAGGUAAAAACAAUGUCAAUUACAUUACAACAUGUCUAAGAGCAACCCAACAAUGCCAAAUCCAAGUGCAGAUGAAGUUGUUUUUGUCAAUGAAAUGGAAAGCCCAUGUCUCACAUUCUCCCCUUUCACUAUGCAGCAAAAAAAAUCA